rnacentral:rRNA from 1 species
AACGAAUGCUGGCGGCAUGCCUAACACAUGCAAGUCGAACGAUUGCCUUCGGGUGAUAGUGGCGCACGGGUGCGUAACGCGUGGGAAUCUGCCCUUAGGUUCGGAAUAACAGCUGGAAACGGCUGCUAAUACCGGAUGAUAUCGCGAGAUCAAAGAUUUAUCGCCUGAGGAUGAGCCCGCGUUGGAUUAGGUAGUUGGUGGGGUAAAGGCCUACCAAGCCGACGAUCCAUAGCUGGUCUGAGAGGAUGAUCAGCCACACUGGGACUGAGACACGGCCCAGACUCCUACGGGAGGCAGCAGUGGGGUAUAUUGGACAAUGGGCGCAAGCCUGAUCCAGCAAUGCCGCGUGAGUGAUGAGGGCCCUAGGGUUGUAAAGCUCUUUUACCCGGGAAGAUAAUGACUGUACCGGGAGAAUAAGCCCCGGCUAACUCCGUG